GCUCAAUGCCUCCAUUUCAGUCCCUACUCAUCUGGUAGCCCUCUCCCAAAAGCUCGCAGCUUUGCAUUUGAAUCUGCAUACAAUCUUGAUUGUACAUUUGGCUGGUGAAGAUUUGAAGACCAUUCUCCGUUCCAGACUGAAAAGUUACCUACUGAUAUAAGAACUCCGUUCCAGACUGAAAAUUUACAUACUGAUAUAAGAACUCUCUGUAAACAAUGAAUUUGUAAAGAACUGAAUCAAUGAAGUGGACAUGCAAAAUGAAUGAAUCAAUUUAUUUGUUUUAGAAA